AUGUCUUUUUUUUCACACUGUCUAUGCAGAAAAUGUAGACAAAGAUUUGAAAUAAAAUUACAGUUUUCUGUCUCUUCAGCGGUCCUUCUGCUGUGUGCUGUGGAGCUGCACUCCUUUGGUGUUGUGGCAGCGCAGAAUCAGACCUGCGCACCCAGUCAAGAGGAGGCAUGUUUUGUGCCAGCUGACUAUCUGAAUGCACUUGGUCCUGUCCACGUAGAGGUGUGUGCUGGUAAGAAACUCAACAUCCCUCUGGAGCACGUCCCUGCAUACAAAGCCUGUCAUUGGAUCAGAGGAGCAGAGCCAGUACUCACAGUAAACGGGAGUAGCUCCAUGGUCCUACCACCGCUCUCUGAGACAGAUUCAGGGGAGUACACACUGAGCUGUGAAACUAGCAGUGAGACCAGGUCCUCGGUGAGUGUGUCUCUUCAUGUAGCAAUGGAACGUCCCACAAAACCAAAGCUGGCGCUGGAUCGUGUGAAGGAACAAAAAAAGUCUCCUUAUUUCACAUGCAUCUCUGAGGGCUGCCCAAAGCCCAAGCUUGAAUUGUCUGGGUAA
rnacentral:lncRNA from 15 species